rnacentral:ncRNA from 1 species
CGGCCCAGACUCCUACGGGAGGCAGCAGUGGGGAAUAUUGCACAAUGGGGGAAACCCUGAUGCAGCGACGCCGCGUGAGUGAAGAAGUAUUUCGGUAUGUAAAGCUCUAUCAGCAGGGAAGAAAAUGAAAGUACCUGACUAAGAAGCCCCGGCUAAAUACGUGCCAGCAGCCGCGGUAAUACGUAGGGGGCAAGCGUUAUCCGGAUUUACUGGGUGUAAAGGGAGCGUAGACGGUUUUGUAAGUCUGAUGUGAAAACCCGGGGCUCAACUCCGGGAUUGCAUUGGAAACUAUACUGUCAAGCUAGAGUGCAGGAGGGGCAAGCGGAAUUCCUAGUGUAGCGGUGAAAUGCGUAGAUAUUAGGAGGAACACCGGUGGCGAAGGCGGCUUGCUGGACUGUAACUGACGUUGAGGCUCGAAGGCGUGGGGAGCAAACAGGAUUAGAUACCCUGGUAGUCCACGCGGUAAACGAUGAAUACUAGGUGUUGGGAGUCUAUAGGCUUUCAGUGCCGAAGCUAACGUGAUAAGUAUUCCACCUGGGGAGUACGUUCGCAAGAAUGAAACUCAAAGGAAUUGACGGGGGCCCGCACAAGCGGUGGAGCAUGUGGUUUAAUUCGAAGCAACGCGAAGAACCUUACCAAAUCUUGAGAUCCCUUGAAUAACGGGUAAUGCCGUUAGCUCUUCGGAGCAGGGAAGACAGGUGGUGCAUGGUUGUCGUCAGCUCGUGUCGUGAGAUGUUGGGUUAAGUCCCGCAACGAGCGCAACCCUUGUCUUUAGUAGCCAGCGGUUCGGCCGGGCACUCUAAUGAGACUGCCGGGGACAACCCGGAGGAAGGUGGGGAUGACGUCAAAUCAUCAUGCCCCUUAUGAUUUGGGCUACACACGUGCUACAAUGGCGUAACAAAGGGAAGCGACCCCGCGAGGGUGAGCAAAUCUCAAAAAUAACGUCUCAGUUCGGAUUGUAGUCUGCAACUCGACUACAUGAAGCUGGAAUCGCUAGUAAUCGCGGAUCAGCAUG